UACGUGUCAUAGGAAAUGCAGACACAUAUGCUGCAGCAAGAGCUAAACUUAGCAGGGCCGAGGAUACAUCAGAUUUACAAACUGACACUGAAGUUCCAAUGAAGUGCAAAAGAUUGUUGCAAAAGUAGCAGAUAUUGGUGGUUCUUCAUUGGAUGAUGCUACAAGGAGGAUGAUGAGAUUCCUGAUUUCAAAUGAAUUGGCGAUUCAGUACAAUCUCUUUGGCCGUCAUGGCAAGAAAAGAUUUCGAGAUCUGCGCCCUUUUGACGUCAUAUGUGGUGGACUGAAGAAGAAUGCAAUGACCAAGACCAGGGGUGUCCAAACUUUUCCUAAAGGGGGCCGGAUUCGACGAUGUGGAAACAGUGGGGGGC